GUGAUGUUAAUGGUUUACAAUUUGAUUGGAGAUUGGCAAUUUCUUGUUGGAGAAGUUCUGUCGUACGUGUACGUUAGAUGUGCUCAUCUUCAAAUUUGUAGACAUCUCGAGUACAGAAAACAUUGCAAGGUUCAUCUGACAAUAUUGGAUGGUUGCCACGCGCUCCUGGCAUGCCUGAUGCGGAGGAUGGUACAGCAAGAUUCUUGGAAUUGCUUACAGGAAUAAGGAAUGGGGAGCCACACAUUGCCUAGCUCAUUUGUGUAUCUGCUUAUUCCGGGCCUCUUUAGCAAUCACGGCCCCUUAUACUUUGUUGGAACAAAGAAAUUCUUUUCGAAGAUGGGUCUAGCUUGCCAUAUUGCAAAAAUUCACAGUGAGGCAUCUGUUGAGCACAAUGCAUGGGAACUCAAGCAAUACAUUGAGGAGCUUUACUGGGAAUCUGGUAAGCGUGUGAUGCUGCUGGGGUACAGCAAGGGCGGUGUUGAUGCUGCAGCUGCAUUGUCAAUCUACUGGUGUGAUUUGAAAGACAAAGUUGCUGGUUUAGCACUGGUACAGAGCCCCUACGGUGGCACACCCUCGGCUUCUGACAUUCUUCUCGAGGCCAGAUUGCGAACAAAGAAACCCGCAGGAUCAUGAAGCUUUUGAUAUGCAAGCUAAUUUAGGGUGACAUUCGGGCACUGGAGGAUCUUACUUGUGAGAAGCGAAAGGAGUUCAUCAUGAACCACAAGCUGCCAUAUGAACUACAUCCACAUGGCUACACUAUUAAUAUAAAAAAAAGGAAUAAAAAAAGACCCCUGUAAAACAUUUGAAGUAUCGCCGGACAGCUAUCCUAUUAAUUUUUUUUAAAAAGGACUCGCCUAGAGCUCAGCGUGUGUUUUGUGAAAAGCAUAUAGCUGCGUGGCCAUACUCUAUAAAGAGAAAUUUUCAAAUGUAUAGCCGCUCGGCUAUACUCCAUGAAUAUAAUUUUUCAAGAGUAUCGUAA